rnacentral:misc_RNA from 1 species
CUGUCCUCCGAAGAUUCAAAACCAGAUUGAUGCGAAGAUCAAUCAGAUUGUUAAGAAAGGUUGGCCUGUUUUGAGAGGUGUUUAGAUGGCUUGCUUAGAGUAGAUUUUUUUGCAAAAUGCUUCAAUUGACAGAGCUCCUUCCCUGAGUGCCCCCUUGCAUGUUAUUAUUUAUAUCUAACUGUCGGGUAUCGCAAGUUACAACUGAUAGAAGCAGACAGAUCUUGGGUACACUUGAACAAGAACAGGAUUAUUCUUUUGUUACUCAAAAUCUCAAAUGAAAUAGUCUUUAGCAUAUCCUUUUUCUUUUUUAGGAGAAAAGCAGUAUUGAAAGUGCAUAAGAGUUGUUUGGAAGGAUUUUUUAUUUUAUGCAGUAUUGUAAUUGAAUUUAUUUGUUCACAUUACAGAUUUUCGUUUGGAUAUCACGAACCUAAAAUAGUUGGUGCAAAUAUGAAUAUUGUCUUGAGAUCAUGCCAUUAAUAAAU